UACAGAGGGGGCAAGCGUUGUUCGGAAUUACUGGGCGUAAAGGGCUCGUAGGCGGCCAACUAAGUCACACGUGAAAUCCCCAGGCUUAACCUGGGAACUGCGUGUGAUACUGGAUGGCUUGAAUCCGGGAGAGGGAUGCAGAAUUCCAGGUGUAGCGGUGAAAUGCGUAGAUAUCUGGAGGAAUACCGGUGGCGAAGGCGGCAUCCUGGACCGGCAUUGACGCUGAUGAGCGAAAGCUAGGGGAGCAAACGGG
rnacentral:rRNA from 1 species